GCGGCAUGCCUUACACAUGCAAGUCGAGCGGUAACGCGGGGCAACCUGGCGACGAGUGGCGAACGGGUGAGUAAUAUAUCGGAACGUGCCCAACUGUGGGGGAUAACGUAGAGAAAUUUACGCUAAUACCGCAUACGAUCUAAGGAUGAAAGCGGGGGAUCGCAAGACCUCGCGCAGUUGGAGCGGCUGAUAUCAGAUUAGCUUGUUGGUGAGGUAAAAGCUCACCAAGGCGACGAUCUGUAGCUGGUUUGAGAGAACGACCAGCCACACUGGGACUGAGACACGGCCCAGACUCCUACGGGGGGCAGCAGUGGGGAAUUUUGGACAAUGGGCGAAAGCCUGAUCCAGCAAUGCCGCGUGCAGGAAGAAGGCCUUCGGGUUGUAAACUGCUUUUGUACGGAACGAAACGGUCUGCCCUAAUACGGCGGGCUAAUGACGGUACCGUAAGAAUAAGCACCGGCUAACUACGUGCCAGCAGCCGCGGUAAUACGUAGGGUGCGAGCGUUAAUCGGAAUUACUGGGCGUAAAGCGUGCGCAGGCGGUUAUGUAAGACAGUUGUGAAAUCCCCGGGCUCAACCUGGGUAUUGCAUCUGUGACUGCAUAGCUAGAGUACGGUAGAGGGGGAUGGAAUUCCGCGUGUAGCAGUGAAAUGCGUAGAUAUGCGGA
rnacentral:rRNA from 1 species